rnacentral:rRNA from 1 species
CCUACGGGAGGCAGCAGUGAGGAAUAUUGGUCAAUGGACGAGAGUCUGAACCAGCCAAGUAGCGUGAAGGAUGACUGCCCUAUGGGUUGUAAACUUCUUUUAUAUGGGAAUAAAAUGUUCCACGUGUGGGAUUUUGUAUGUACCAUAUGAAUAAGGAUCGGCUAACUCCGUGCCAGCAGCCGCGGUAAUACGGAGGAUCCGAGCGUUAUCCGGAUUUAUUGGGUUUAAAGGGAGCGUAGGUGGAUUGUUAAGUCAGUUGUGAAAGUUCGCGGCUCAACCCUAAAAUUGCAGUUGAAACUGGCAGUCUUGAGUACAGUAGAGGUGGGCGGAAUGCGUGGUGUAGCGGUGAAAUGCUUAGAUAUCACGAAGAACUCCGAUUGCGAAGGCAGUUCACUGGACUGCAACUGACACUGAGGCUCGAAAGUGUGGGUAUCAAACAGGAUUAGAUACCCGGGUAGUC